AGAAAGAAAAAUCUGUAAACACAAUCGAAAGUAAUGGAUGCCAAGGUCUAAUAGCACACCUUGAAGCUGUCCUUGGACAACGUUGGAAUAAGUGGAAAUAUACUACUUUAAUACUGGUACAGCUAACGAUGGAGCUGUCUCAUUCAUCAGUUGAGGAAGAGAUGGAGGCAAUGUCAUGGACAUACUGAAGAAAAAUAAUGUUUCCAGACAUGUUUGUGCUGCGCUUAAAUACAAGUAAGAAAAAUAU